CCUACGGGAGGCAGCAGUGAGGAAUAUUGGUCAAUGGACGAGAGUCUGAACCAGCCAAGCAGCGUGAAGGAUGACUGCCCUAUGGGUUGUAAACUUCUUUUAUAUGGGAAUAAAAUGUUCCACGUGUGGUCUUUUGUAUGUACCAUAUGAAUAAGGAUCGUCUAACUCCGUGCCAGCAGCCGCGGUAAUACGGAGGAGCCGAGCGUUAUCGGGAUUGAUUGGGUUUAACGGGUGCGUAGGCGGAUUGGUAAGUCAGUGGUGAAAGUUUGGGGCUCAACGGUGAAAUUGCAGUUGAUACUGGCAGUCUUGAGUACAGGAGAGGUGGGCGGAAUGCGUGGUGUAGCGGUGAAAUGCUUAGAUAUCAUGAAGAACUCCGAUUGCGAAGGCAGCUCACUGGACUGCAACUGACACUGAGGCUCGAAAGUGUGGGGAGCAAACAGGAUUAGAUACCCCUGUAGUC
rnacentral:rRNA from 1 species